AGUAAAAUAAAUCAUACCGUUAUGAACGUUAUUUGUUCACGUUGUUUGUUUUAGAAAGGACAAUUAAAGAGCUUAGGGAACACGAAAAAAAUGAAUUGCCGCGAUGAACAUGUACAAUGCCCAUACGUUGCAUCCCAUUCGAUUUUGAAAAAACGUUUUCAGGUGCAUCUGGUGCGAUGCAGGAAGAAAUUUUUACAUGUUUCCAAGGUGACGUGCCCUUUCAAUGUGACUCAUGUCCUUAAUGAGCCGGAACUUGAUUGGCACGUCCAAACUUGUCCUAACCGCGCUGGUUAUGAGCAUUAUAAGCGCGGAGAAGAACAAGCUGCAGCGGAUAGGGCGACUACAUCAGCACAAACACAGGAAUACACAUUGGAAACCGAAGAAAAUUGGGAUGACUUACCGCCCGUGCCAACCUAUAAUCCACAGGAGUAUGCUCAAAAUGCUCAGGUGCUUCGAAGUUUACGAGGAGAACCCAAGUCCGUUAAAAAACAAUUUCGUUCAAAUGAAAGACUCCGUUUAUUGGGCAUUAAUCGGGACAGUAAAUCAAACCAAUAAAAAAACCUGAUGUAUAUGUUCCCUUCAUCAGGCUUAUAUUGGACAAUUACUCUACAGUAGAAGGGUAAAAACGACUUUAAAUACUAAAGCCUAGUAAUUGUAAUGGCAAUAUAAUACCUUUAUAUUGUUUUGACAACUCCAUAGUCAUGGACAGAAUUUAAAAUUUUACAUGUAUGUAAACUUAAUGUUUUUUAGUAAUGUUUGUAAAAUUAUACAUUUUUUGUAUUCGAUUUAAUGUAAUCCAAAGCUACUAUUUGACUGUAAAUUGUUUAAAAAUAAUAUGUGAUGUGAUGUAAAGUGCUUUUAAGUUAAUAAAAUAAUAAUAAUGCUAUAUACACACAAUAAAUUAAACAAUUGUAAACAAUCGUAUUUAUAUUUCUAAAGAUUGCCUUACUUAAAUAUGUUUGAACUGUAUAAAAGCUUUUUGUAAGAUUUGAGGCAUAUAUGUAUAUGUUAAAACUUAAGAAAACAACUAAUACAAUGCUAAAAGAAUUGACAUAAACAAAAGUAAUUGUACAUUAAAAUGCAUAAUUUCUUUUAUUUAGACCACAAAUUAAUUUCAAUAGCCUUCGUCAAAUAUUGCGUUCUGUUUGUAACCAAAAUUUAAAUAUUGCCAACUUUUUGUUUAAGAAUUAACUCAUUAAGGGAGUACUUUGUUUUUUAAAUAACAUAUUCAAAUGUUGAAAAGCAAUUUUUAAAACAUCAGCUGUAUUGGUAAAGACAUGAAAUAUUUUGUUUUUAUAAAAGGUACAAAAAAUUGUAUUAUGAAGUAAACAUGUAAACAAAGACAAGACUGAAAUAAGACUUUAAGUCUACUCAAUUUACUGGCUACUAAUAUUGUUUUACAUAUUUAGUCCUAUCGAAAAGAAUAAUACAAAUUAUAUACAAUUUGCAUUGAAAAAAACAAUUGUAAAUAAAUGCUUUUAGUAUGUAAACUUUUAUUUAGUUUUGGAAACUGAAUAGUUGGCAACUAGGUCUACACGAAUCGACAGUUUUUAAUCCACAAACAAUUUAAAAUAUUUACUUGAUUGUCAGUUAAUUGAACUGUAGUGGGCCAAAUGGAGAAAAAUACAGGUGAAGAUUUUGCUACUUGUCCGUAUGAUAAUGCACAUCGUGUCCUAAGGAGUCGUUUGCAAUUACAUCUAAUUAAAUGCCGUUUGAAUCAUCCACAUGUAGAAUUACAAAAGUGUCCACUGAAUCAAUUACAUUUGGUGCCUGAGGCCGAGUUCGAGCGGCAUUUAAUGAGUUGCCCUGAUCGUAAAAUAAUUGCACAUUAUAAAUACGUUGAUGAGAUGAAGUUUCUGAAGCAUGACCCAAUUGAAAGUGAGGAAAAUUGGGAUGACACUGAAUCUGGAAAUUAUAAUCCUGAAACUUACGCUCGUAGCAAUCAAAUAAUACGAAAACCCGUCGGUCCACCAUCAAAACGUAAAGCCUUUAGACAUGAGGAGGAAGAACGUUGGCAACAGCUUAAUCGAUUGUAACUAUAA
rnacentral:misc_RNA from 1 species